CCUACGGGAGGCAGCAGUGAGGAAUAUUGGUCAAUGGACGAGAGUCUGAACCAGCCAAGUAGCGUGAAGGAUGACUGCCCUCUGGGUUGUAAACUUCUUUUAUAUGGGAGUAAAAUGUUCCACGUGUGGGAUUUUGUAUGUACCAUAUGAAUAAGGAUCGGCUAACCCCGUGCCAGCAGCCGCGGUAAUACGGAGGAUCCGAGCGUUAUCCGGUUUUAUUGGGUUUAAAGGGAGCGUAGGUGGAUUGUUAAGUCAGUUGUGAAAGUUUGGGGCUCAACCGUAAAAUUGCAGUUGAAACUGGCAGUCUUGAGUACAGUAGAGGUGGGCGGAAUUCGUGGUGUAGCGGUGAAAUGCUUAGAUAUCACGAAGAACUCCGAUUGCGAAGGCAGCUCACUGGACUGCAACUGACACUGAGGCUCGAAAGUGUGGGUAGCAAACAGGAUUAGAUACCCUGGUAGUC
rnacentral:rRNA from 1 species